AGUUAAUAAGAAAGAUGAAGAAAUAAAAUCUUGGCUAGUCAAAUUAAAAUCUUUUAUAAUAAAAUUAUUAAUUAAUAAAAACACUCAAGUUAAUAGUAAGAGUAAGAGUAAACAUAUAUACAAAUGGAACACUACUAUAAAAUUAAAUGCAUUGUUUCUUAAUUUAAUAGAAUAUAUUUUCAUUUUUUACAUAUUUAUGCAUAAUAUUAAUAGUAAAAACAAACUACAGAAAAAUGAUGAACAUAUAUGUCGCAUUUUUAAAAAACUAAAUACGAGCGUUAUGUUUUAUUCGGUUAAUGAAAAAUUGAAAAUCUUUAUGUAUGGUUUUAUGCUCUUCCAAGUAUUUAAUAUUGCAAAAACAGAGAACGUUAAGGAUAAAAAUGGAGAGGGAAAUGGAGAGCAAAGUAAUGAAAGUGAUGGAGAAAGUGAUGGAGAAAGUGAUGGAGAAAGUGAUGGAGAAAGUGAUGAAGAAAGAAAUGAAGAAAGCGGUGGAGAAAGUGGUGAAGAGAAAAAAAAAACAUAAUAAGUUAAAAAAUAAUAACCUUACUAAUAUAAAAGAUAGUACUAAUUUGAUAAAUAAUAUCGACGAUAAUAAUGCGGUGGAAGUAUAUAAUCACAAGUUAUCUACAAAAGGACACAUAGAGCCAUCUAUUUCUUUAGAUCUGUCAAAGUUAGUCACAUUUUUCAAAUAUAUAUAUUUAUAUAGUGAUUCAAACGAUGCUAUGUCUGAGUUUAAAAGUGAAGUUUACCAUAAUACAACUGGUAAAGAAAAGAAUAUCGAACACAUAACCGAUGAGAACGAAAAAAAUCCAAAAAAAAAAUGUAUAAUGUUGUAUGAAUUUUUAUUUUAUUAUAAUAAAGUUUUAAUAGAGUGUAGUGAUAAGAAAUCAAUUUAUAUUUGUUUAAAAUUUAAAAAUGUAAUUAGAAAUAUAUAUAGUGUUAUAUAUGACUCGAUAGAAGAUGUACAAUACAUACUUGAGUAUAUUGAUUCAAAAGUUUUAGAUAUAAAUAUAAACAAUUUAGAAGCAGAUAAAAACAAAAUUAAAAAUGUUUUAUAUAAUUUAAAUAUACAUACAAUAACAUUAAUAUUUUUAGUUCGUAACAACAAAAAUUUAUUAUAUAAUAUUACCAUUUUAAAAAAUAAUCAUUCGAAUAUUUUAUAUUUUAUUCAACUAUAUUUUAAUCUUAUUACAUAUAUAAAUAAUAUAUUGGAUAAUAUAAA
rnacentral:lncRNA from 1 species